CCUGAAGAGGUCUGUGGAUCAGAUGUUUCACAAUCUGAAAUCUAUGAGGAGAAAGGCUGGCCUCAUCAGGGGUGUGCAGACUUACAGGUGAUCAAACUUUAGCUGUGUCCUUAUCCGUUUCGUAAGAAGCCGUGCGCGCGCACAUCCUGACUCCUCCUCGACAGUGGUCCUGAUGCUAGUUCUCGGGGACGCGCAUUACGUCACCUCUCGCUGCGUGGGUCACCUCGCUGCCCGCAUCCAGCGCCAGGCUCUGCAUCCUGUAAGGCCCGUCCUGCCACCACCAUCAUCUUUAUCAUCCUCCUCAUCUUCACCACAGCGGCUCAUCCUCCCUUUUUCUUACGGAAACAGUUCGCGUACGCGAGCGCGUGUUGUCCACCUUGCGCUGGCGGAGAGUUGCGAUAAUGGCCGAAAGCGAGGCAGACACGCCGAGCACACCGAUCGAGUUUGAGAGUAAAUACUUCGAGUUUGACGGAGUGCGGCUGCCGCCCUUCUGCAGAGGGAAGAUGGAGGACAUCUCUAACUUCUCCCUGAGAAGUAGCGACAUAUGGAUCGUCACCUACCCGAAAUCAGGCACAGAACCUGGAUGCUGACCCUCAGCUAUAAAGAAGCCAUCCCUUCUUGGAGGCAUGAACUCUAAUGAAUGUUUUCCUGUGAUGUAUGCAAUGUUCCAGUUCGAUGCUAUGAAGCUAACCAGAAAUCCCCUGCGCCGUAAACAACCAUUCUCCACUAUGAAGUCCUGAUCUAAGUGAGGCGGGUGUUGAUGUUGUCAAUAUUUGGAAGUGUGGCCAGCACAGACUGAAUGGCUUCGUUCACUUCCUCCUCUGCCAUUACUAAAACUACAGUUAGACUAUAAUUCUAAAACAGAGCAGAAAAUCAACGUCAUCAUUCACAACUUCUCCUUCUGUUCACUGAUUAGCCCGGUCAAAUAUCAACUAGAGAGAAUCUGAGUCAAUGGGAGAAAGCCCAGACUGUGUUAGAAGUCAGAUUGUUUUCAAGAGGAGUUGCACAGGAUUGCAAUGGCCACGCUAAGUAAUUACCAAUAUGAACAUUUUUGCAUGAAAGUUGACAUUGAUUCUGACUCAAACUUUGAAUUAAUGCUUUUGGUCUAAUCCUGUAUUUAUGCCAGGUCUACUGAAUAAAGGAUCAACAAUGAAGAAAUAUUCCCAGUGUUCUGUUAUGCAAGCCAAGGGAGACAGAGAGUUCAAAGAAAUAACAUCCAAGCUGUUUUUCUCAGUCUCAGAUGUUUGUGGCAUUUAUUUAGGUCUCCAGGGCAAAAGUAGAGGGCAGAUCAUUCUGAGAAGAGAUUUCAAAAACACAAGUUUCAUAAGUGUGACAUGUGUGGGUUAUAGUUCAAGACAUGUGCUUGAACAGAACUUGUUGACCUCAGCAGCUUUUCCACUGUUUUCCAUUCAUUCUGUUAUAGUUAUGUGAUAACCUUAUUUAACCAAGCUCCAUGUUUCAUGGUUUUGUGUCACUUUGUGCAUCAGUUGUACAAGAUUGAGUGAGCCUGUCUCUCAUCUUGACCUGAGAUAAGUAAUGAACACAUGACCAGCCCCGUGUUUGGGACUCUGCAGAGCUUUCUGAUGCCAGCAGCUCACUUGUGACUGUCUUAGCCAUUAGUAAUACCAAUAUUUUAUAACCAGAAGAAGAGAGAGAGUACUGUUGGUUUACCCUAUGAGAGCAGACGGGAAGAAACACACAUGCACGCACGCACACACACACUGUUACGACCCAGCUCAGCCAGGGUAAAGGGAAGUAACAUUAAAUAAACCUAGAUGUUAAGGUUCAACAAUUUAGAGAUUUAUUGUUUGGGUUUCCAACAAAAAAAGAAGGAAAAGAAAAAAAAAGAGUAACAAUAAUCAAAAGGGUAAAACUUGCAGCCAAUACGUACUAAAUAAACAAAAUUCACAAACUAUCAGAGCUGUGAGACAAAACUUAAUCACACUUUACGUCCAGAUUAAACAAACAAAAUAAGCUACAAGUCUGGUGUAGCGUUACAAAUCCCCACAGGGUAAAAACUGUUGAAGCAGUCAAAAGUUAAAGCCAAAGUAGACCACAACUUUCUAGUAGCAGUACAACCCCCCCCCCCACAGGAUCAAACCUAUCACAAUUUAUAGAAAAGCUCACAAAAUACAACCAGUUCACAGCAACCCCACACACACCCAACAAAGUGGCAAGCUGUCUCAACAAAGAAACUAAGCGGGCCUUCUCCUUGGAAGUCCUUGGUUUUAAAAGUGAGGCCUCAACAGCAAUUGGUGGAGCCGGCAAUUGAUGACCCAAUCACAGUAGGCCUCAGGGUGUGGCACAGGACAACAGGGCAACACCCACUUCCAGGUGAAGUCAGUCUGAUUAGCCACUGCCAAAGAAAAAAAAAACAAACAGAAAAGGCCACUGUCCUUAACACACACACACCUUUGUUGUGGAAUAGCAAAAUAACAUGACUCGCAUGCAAUAUGCUGACACGCUGUGCUAUAAAAAAUAUUUGCCCCAUUUCUUGUUUUCAUUGUUGUUUCACCCAAAGGCUUCAGAUUAUUGACCCUAUUUUGAUACUAGGCAAAUAUUGAUUUUUGGAAGUGAAGUUCACUUUUGCCAUCCCAGCCAGGUCUUCUUACAUCCAGCCCUGUAGAUUCAAGGAAUCACUUAAAUAGAACAGCUCUGAUAACUGAAGUGGGCUGUGUCAAAAAUCAAACCAUCAUGCUCUGAUCUGAACUAAUUCAAGAUACAUGAAAGCUAACUGGCAUGUAUCAGUCUAAAAAUAGUUACAAAGUAAUUGCUAAGGUUUUGAGACUCCAGAGAAACACGGUAACAAAAGAAGCACAACAAGAUUUAAAGCUCUGCAGGCCUUCUGAUGUUUAUGGUUCAUCAAUCAGAAAGAGGCUGGACUGCUAACCAAAGCCUUUUUCUUAAUCUCUCUCUUUUUAAACAGAAUCAACUAAAAAGGCAUUAUUGCCUAUGCAUUAGAUCAUAAUAAAGUUUACAGUGGACCCUUCCUUUUCACCCUGUGAGGGUUCUCACAUUAACCAGCCAGAGAGACGCUGAGUGGAAUUCAAAAAUAAUCUUAAUUUAUUACAAAAAAGUU